rnacentral:misc_RNA from 1 species
CAAGAUAUUGGCGAUGAUGGGUGAUACAGGCGAGCCUAUAGCGGUUCCUGAUGUUUGCUCGUAAAAUUUAUCGUUUACCGAGAAAUAUGGACUGGCGAGGCAGUGUCCACUAGGUCGGAUGGAAAGUGUGAGAGGGAUUUCACGAUGUCGAAGGUAUCGAGAACGAGCACUCUCGGGAACAGUGACACGAUGACAUCGAAGCUUGCGAGAAUAUUUUGGAUGUGAGAAAUUAUGACACCGACGAUGGAUCUAAGAGGAAUAUAAUUCUAAUGUAUUUUUGAAAGAAAGUACAUUCUUGCAUGUCGUUUAAGGUGACAAUUACGUCUUCGUUUUCGUUCAUCUGUCGAAGGGAAUGUAGUUCCUGUUUCGUCAAAUUGAGCAUAUGGCUCUUGUCCUGUCGCAAGUUGUUACGUCUGGCGACACUCUACCUAGACCAGAUCACACACCGCGGGCAUAAUGGCAACCAGAUGUUCACACAUCCUUACCGUGUAUCCUCGAUGGUCUUAAGUAUAAAUCUCGGCGUUUUCAUAGCUAAGGUCCUUCAGACCAAACAAAUAUCUUUUUACUAAAUCGUGUCCUAAAGUUUAUCGUCUACUACGGGUUGACACGGGAAAGUUAACUUUUCUCACGUAUGAUGCUUACCACUAGCAACUUUCUAUCGAGGACGGCUAAGACCCUUCCUAGUCUACCAACCUUCGUAACAUCCAAUCAGAAGCAAUGUCUAUUGCCCUCACUUUUCUAACCAAAAUUUUCAUCAACAAAUCCGAUGGUCCCGUGCGUUAGACACACCCAUCAUAAGUUUUCCUCCGCAGCAUCAUCCUCACAGAAAGUCAGUCUUUAUGCAUUUCUUGAACCAUCAUCAUCUAAGCUUACGUCGCAUACUAUACGACUACGUCGUAACUUUGGUUAUCAAUCGACACUGAAUUAUACCUUAUCAAUUUAUAUCUCUUUAGUCUAGAAGUUGUUGGAAUAAACAUUAAUUUAUACCCGUUAAUUCAGUGUAAAUUCAAUCGAACCAGCCCUAUUAUCGUAACAGAAAUAAGGGGAUCGAUCAGUUCGUGGCGUCGAUUAUCUAAUCGUAACGGGAAUUUACGACUCCGGUUGACGUGCUUUCUCGCGAUCGCGUCUCUCCGCGAAUGGUCGAAUAAACACAAGUUAUUGGCUAUAUUUCGUCGAAUGUCAUUAGUUUGUACCGCAGAGAGUGAGUUUACGACGGA